UAGCGUAAUGAAGCGAACCGGGGGAACUGAAACAUCUAAGUACCCCGAGGAAAAGAAAUCAACCGAGAUUCCCCCAGUAGCGGCGAGCGAACGGGGAGCAGCCCAGAGUCUGAAUCAGCUUGUGUGUUAGUGGAACGGUCUGGAAAGUCCGACGGUACAGGGUGAUAGUCCCGUACACCAAAAUGCACAGGUUGUGAACUCGAAGAGUAGGGCGGGACACGUGGUAUCCUGUCUGAAUAUGGGGGGACCAUCCUCCAAGGCUAAAUACUCCUGACUGACCGAUAGUGAACCAGUACCGUGAGGGAAAGGCGAAAAGAACCCCGGCGAGGGGAGUGAAAAAGAACCUGAAACCGUGUACGUACAAGCAGUGGGAGCCUCUUUAUGGGGUGACUGCGUACCUUUUGUAUAAUGGGUCAGCGACUUAUAUUCUGUAGCAAGGUUAACCGUAUAGGGGAGCCGAAGGGAAACCGAGUCUUAACUGGGCGUUAAGUUGCAGGGUAUAGACCCGAAACCCGGUGAUCUAGCCAUGGGCAGGUUGAAGGUUGGGUAACACUAACUGGAGGACCGAACCGACUAAUGUUGAAAAAUUAGCGGAUGACUUGUGGCUGGGGGUGAAAGGCCAAUCAAACCGGGAGAUAGCUGGUUCUCCCCGAAAGCUAUUUAGGUAGCGCCUCGUGAACUCAUCUUCGGGGGUAGAGCACUGUUUCGGCUAGGGGGUCAUCCCGACUUACCAACCCGAUGCAAACUGCGAAUACCGAAGAAUGUUAUCACGGGAGACACACGGCGGGUGCUAACGUCCGUCGUGAAGAGGGAAACAACCCAGACCGCCAGCUAAGGUCCCAAAGUCAUGGUUAAGUGGGAAACGAUGUGGGAAGGCACAGACAGCCAGGAUGUUGGCUUAGAAGCAGCCAUCAUUUAAAGAAAGCGUAAUAGCUCACUGGUCGAGUCGGCCUGCGCGGAAGAUGUAACGGGGCUAAACCAUGCACCGAAGCUGCGGCAGCGACACUAUGUGUUGUUGGGUAGGGGAGCGUUCUGUAAGCCGUUGAAGGUGUGCUGUGAGGCAUGCUGGAGGUAUCAGAAGUGCGAAUGCUGACAUAAGUAACGAUAAUGCGGGUGAAAAACCCGCACGCCGGAAGACCAAGGGUUCCUGUCCAACGUUAAUCGGGGCAGGGUGAGUCGACCCCUAAGGCGAGGCCGAAAGGCGUAGUCGAUGGGAAACAGGUUAAUAUUCCUGUACUUGGUGUUACUGCGAAGGGGGGACGGAGAAGGCUAUGUUAGCCGGGCGACGGUUGUCCCGGUUUAAGCAUGUAGGCGGAGGUUCCAGGUAAAUCCGGUACCUUUUUAACGCUGAGGUGUGAUGACGAGGCACUACGGUGCUGAAGUAACAAAUGCCCUGCUUCCAGGAAAAGCCUCUAAGCAUCAGGUAACACGAAAUCGUACCCCAAACCGACACAGGUGGUCAGGUAGAGAAUACCAAGGCGCUUGAGAGAACUCGGGUGAAGGAACUAGGCAAAAUGGUGCCGUAACUUCGGGAGAAGGCACGCUGAUAUGUAGGUGAAGCGGUUUACCCGUGGAGCUGAAAUCAGUCGAAGAUACCAGCUGGCUGCAACUGUUUAUUAAAAACACAGCACUGUGCAAACACGAAAGUGGACGUAUACGGUGUGACGCCUGCCCGGUGCCGGAAGGUUAAUUGAUGGGGUUAUCCGUAAGGAGAAGCUCUUGAUCGAAGCCCCGGUAAACGGCGGCCGUAACUAUAACGGUCCUAAGGUAGCGAAAUUCCUUGUCGGGUAAGUUCCGACCUGCACGAAUGGCGUAAUGAUGGCCAGGCUGUCUCCACCCGAGACUCAGUGAAAUUGAACUCGCUGUGAAGAUGCAGUGUACCCGCGGCAAGACGGAAAGACCCCGUGAACCUUUACUAUAGCUUGACACUGAACACUGGUCCUUGAUGUGUAGGAUAGGUGGGAGGCUUUGAAGUGUGGACGCCAGUCUGCAUGGAGCCAUCCUUGAAAUACCACCCUUUAAUGGCUGGUGUUCUAACGUGGACCCGUUACCCGGGUUGCGGACAGUGUCUGGUGGGUAGUUUGACUGGGGCGGUCUCCUCCUAAAGAGUAACGGAGGAGCACGAAGGUUAGCUAAUCCUGGUCGGACAUCAGGAGGUUAGUGCAAAGGCAUAAGCUAGCUUGACUGCGAGAGUGACGGCUCGAGCAGGUGCGAAAGCAGGUCUUAGUGAUCCGGUGGUUCUGAAUGGAAGGGCCAUCGCUCAACGGAUAAAAGGUACUCCGGGGAUAACAGGCUGAUACCGCCCAAGAGUUCAUAUCGACGGCGGUGUUUGGCACCUCGAUGUCGGCUCAUCACAUCCUGGGGCUGAAGUAGGUCCCAAGGGUAUGGCUGUUCGCCAUUUAAAGUGGUACGCGAGCUGGGUUUAGAACGUCGUGAGACAGUUCGGUCCCUAUCUGCCGUGGGCGCUGGAGAAUUGAGGGGGGCUGCUCCUAGUACGAGAGGACCGGAGUGGACGCAUCACUGGUGUUCGGGUUGUCAUGCCAAUGGCAUUGCCCGGUAGCUAAAUGCGGAAGAGAUAAGUGCUGAAAGCAUCUAAGCACGAAACUUGCCCCGAGAUGAGUUCUCCCUGAGACUAUAAGUC
rnacentral:rRNA from 1 species